GCCCAGGUAGCUCAGUGGUAGAGCACAUCCUUGGUAAGGAUGAGGUCGCGGGUCCAAUUCCCGCUCUGGGCUCCA
rnacentral:tRNA from 1 species